rnacentral:lncRNA from 1 species
GUUCGAUUAAUCAACCCCACACAAGUGAAAUGAUCUACAUAAUCGCCGAUUUCCCAUCCUCAAAUCAAUGGACCAUUACGGCGCACAUGGAAGGAAUCCUUUUCAGCUGCACAUGUGCAUAAAUUAAAUAAUCCCAACAAGUGGCCAGCUUUUAUGGAUAUUUCCGUCACCUUUAACACGAAAAUCCAUUCAGGAAAAUACAUGGCAAAACUAUUCCACUUAAUUGACUCGCACCGCAAUAAAAACGAAAUCAUUUGACUAUUUAUGACAUCCAUUCACACAAUGAAAACUACACCAAAGCACACUCCACGAACAUCCAUCCACCCUGUGGCAGGUCCUGCUGGUAAUAUCUGCUCCUGUGUG